rnacentral:rRNA from 1 species
AGAACGAACGCUGGCGGCACGCCUAACACAUGCAAGUCGAGCGCCCAGCAAUGGGAGCGGCGGACGGGUGAGGAACACGUGGGAACAUGCCUUUCGGUUCGGCACAACUGCGGGAAACUGCAGCUAAUUCCGGAUACGCCCUUACGGGGAAAGAUUUAUCGCCGAAAGAUUGGCCCGCGUCUGAUUAGCUAGUUGGUGAGGUAAUGGCUCACCAAGGCUUCGAUCAGUAGCUGGUUUGAGAGAACGACCAGCCACACUGGGACUGAGACACGGCCCAGACUCCUACGGGAGGCAGCAGUGGGAAUCUUGGACAAUGGAGGAAACUCUGAUCCAGCGAUGCCGCGUGAGUGAUGAAGGCCUUCGGGUUGUAAAACUCUUUCGACGGGGACGAUAAUGACGGUACCCGUAGAAGAAGCUCCGGCUAACUUCGUGCCAGCAGCCGC